AUGGAUCCAAGCGUCCUGUUUUAUGUUCCCCCUUUAAGCGACCGUGACUAAUGAAGACAGGUAUUACGACAAAAGGGACCUCCGCAUAGUUAUUGCCCUAUUCAGCAUGCAGCCAAAGAUCAGGAAGGAAAGAGGAGAUGUGCAGAAUGAAGGAAAAGAGGUAGCCUGUGAUCUCUUGACAAAAGGGGAACGAUCAUUCAUGGAGUCAAAAUGGAGCAGGAGUGUGUCUGUAAAGGCAGAGAGAUGGGAGAGAUGGAGGGAAAGGAACUGGGCAGGCAAGAGGCAAAGAUGAAGUCCUUCAAAAAGGCUAGUGAAAAUCAAGCCCUCCUAGAUAUGAUUAAUUCUGCACUCCACAAGAGUGAAACUAUUCCCCCCUGCCAUUUCUGUGACAGGCGCUCCCAGAGGCCCCAUCACUGCUAAAGCUCCAUUAUCUGAGGCACUGCGCUGAUACAUAAAUGACAUAGUCCCUGCAAUAAGGGCCUUACAGUUUAACAUGAGCCAGAAUGCAAUAAAGGAAUGUAAUAUACAGAAUAAAGGACCAGGAGAGGAAGGACAGCCAAAACCUUGCAAGCCUGCAUGGCAGCCUGUGUGUGUUACGCAACUUCACAGUUAUAAUCAUGUAGCUAAUACAAGAAUAAUGUUCAUACACAGUAGCGACCCACCCUCCAUCUCAGGCACUUCUAUUUCUUUUUUUUUUCGCCUUGAAGAACCAAGAAAAAUCACACACACUUUUAACCUUUUGCCCAAACAGCUGUUGGUGGUAGUAGUUAGGGCAGCAGGCUAACACAGUAAUAGCUGAAGCAAAAGGCGUAUGAGCUGCUGGAGGUCACAGCCCUUUGACUUGUAACAUCUUGUGAGAGCUGGACAUGUACAAGCUUCCCUCUGACCCGAAGUGGAAUUGCCUAUGUCUGUCCCUGCUCAGCCCCUGCACUGGCUCGCAUGGUUUCAGUGUGAGUCUUUGUAAGUGAGCUGGAUGCAGAAGUUAUUUUUCAGCUGGAUCAGUUCUCCCAGCUCCCAGUGAAGGCAUAGAAAUACCCUGGCCAGCCAGUGUAGGAAGGAGCACCAGGGCCAGGCAGAGGGACAGUGGGGCUUACACAAGCUGCUGGAGGCCUUAGGUUCCAAAAGCAAAGUAUUUGCCUCAGCUGCGCUUCUGCAAAGCAGGUGGUUUUACUAUUAGGUGCUCAAAUUUAGACACAGUUUCAGUUUCCUAGGAUGGCAUGCACUAAGCCAGCAGCUCACCUCCACCAAAGUGAGGAGGCCCUUUUCCCAGCCAUGCAAUCCCAUCAUCUUUUUUAUCAGUUCUGCUACCUGUGAAUAAAUGAAGCCCUUCACUCACCACUGCUGUUCACUGACCAAGCAGAAACAUGACCCAGAAGAAAACAGCUGCCUGAUAUUUUCUCUGCUGGGUUAGUGAGUUGAAUCAGCUUACAGGCAAGUUCAUGAAGCUCCAGAGCUACCCUAAGUGAGACAGCAGGGUCUUUGGCUAGGAAGAGGUCUGGGUUAGAGGAGAAAGAAAAGGAGGAGAAAGAACAAGACUUCCCCCUCAUGGCAAGAGCAAGCCAUCAGAUAUGCUUAGGUGCUUAUAACUGCAACUUUAGAGGUCAAUUUACCUGUGUUAUCCCAGGAUACACAAACUGCGUGGGAACAGGCAGCUCUGCAAUUUGCUGCAAUCCCUAAAUUCAUUCCCAUUCCCAUUUUAUAUAAUACUAGUGUGGUCCUAGUUCCACGUAUCUUAUUCAUGUAGAAAUACUCAUUAAAGAAGUUUAAGUAACUGGGGGAAAAUCUGAGUUCUCAGCCUGCAGGUUUCUGUGGUUUGGGGAAACUGAAGUAUCUUUUGAAGAUAUGUUGAGGUAUAUCCCCUAAUUCUCAUUUGUGUAUAGUAUAAGCAAACCCAUUAUAAAAAAGAAUGCAACUUUAAAGUACACAAGUGUAAAUUUCCCAUGGGUAACUAAUGCAGUAAGUACCGUGGAUUUAAACAAGCCCUUCCAGUGUCCCUCACCCAUGCCAGUUUGUGUGGUUUAAUUUUCUCUAUAUCUGCAUUAAGACAGGGGAGAAGCUCAUCCUUCCUCAGCUCCCUCUCCCUGCACACUGGAAAAAACUUGGAAUAAACUGAUGUGUGUUCCUUUCUAUGUGCCAGCCGUGCAUCCUUCCUAGCCUCUCAUCCAUCUAGUGUGGACUUUGUCCUCACUUAACAGAGUGUAUUAUGACAUUGCCUGAAGCUGCUUACAAAGAUAGUAAUUACACCUCUAUAAGUACAUUGUUGGCCUGGUUUUCAAAAGGUCUGAGCAGCUCUACUUCUUUAAGGAGCAAAAUGACCUGAGGAUACCAUCACCUUUGGAAAUCAAGCCAUUAGGGAUAGGAAGGAGAGUUUAAAGGAGGCAUGGGGGCUGGUAGGAAAGCAUUGCUUCCAUUCAAGGAGCACAUCAGUAAGAAGCUGCCACCAUCAAGAGGACAGAAUAAAUAUCCUAAUAGAACUUUAUUACAGGCCAGAAAAAUCCUGUGAAAGCCUGGAUGGCUACAUGCUGCAUCUCUGAAAUCAAUGACAAAACACAUUAUGGUUGAGGCAUGUAACAUCGUUCUGUCAAAGGAAUGGCUCCUAGCAUGGCCAAUUUAUCUGAGACGGUCAUUGUUAGUUCUGCCCCCCUGUUAAUGCCAAGGCCUUGUGUGCAAGUAAGCUAUCUUCUGACAGAAGCGCUGGGCCUAGGCUUUCUCCAAAGGACAGAAAUUUAUUAAACGGACAAAAUCAUUUCUUGUGAUGCUGCCAUCAGGGAAGCCCACUUCCAUGCUUCUUACCAAGGAGGAAGGAGAGAAGACCAAAGGAGCUGCUGUAUCUGCUGAGUAGUGCCGGGACCCACAGUCAGCCUUAGUAAAUAACCAGUCUCCAGCAUGGGGUGGGCUCCAGCGUCUUGGCUGUGGCUUCUGACUUUGCCAGCCUUGGAAUGCCUUGACUUGGCUGCGAUUACUCUUCAGCAGCAUAACUACAGGGGAGCACAGUGAGGUCUGCAGUACAUCUGCCUGGCACUUUUCCAUACACAGCUUUCCACCCAGGAAUCCUAUUGUCAUGAGAUAUUAGAUUCUUUAGGCUCAUCAAUUCUGGUGACACAAUCCAGCAAUUUAUUUUUAGACAGAGCACGCAGGUGUCCAUGGCAGCAUUUUAGCUGACAGUGCUGCAGUAUUGCUAUGCAGGAGCACUUGGUUGUUCUUUGUGUCUUGACUUGUUACUGGAAAAGGAAUGGUCUGAAUAAGACAAAGGAAAACACUUGCACCCUUAAACUGAAUUUCAUCCAUCAGACUUUCAGCAUGCUGAUGGGAAACAGAAGCAAGACUAACGAUUCAUGUGCAGCAUUGAUUGUAGAUGAUGGCUGGAAAAGAGAACAAAAAUAAUAAAUAAAAACUAAUGAUUGUAACUGAUUGAGGAAAUAUUCUGGUUCAGAAAAUCACAUAAAAAUUAGUUGGGUUUAUUUUUUUUUUUCCACAAGUAUUAGAAAUCUGCAUAUGAAUGAUUCAGUCAGAAAACUGGUUUGUAGUAUUGAAGAUACUGACAAUCUACAUUCAGCUAUAAACUAUUUUUUUGCAUAACUACCUUAAAUAAAAUCUUUAAAAUUGCUGUGAUACAAUCCCUCAUCAAUAUCUUUAAACUGCCACUCAAGAACAAUAGGACCACAGUAUUCAUUUUCUAGGAGAAACAAUACAGUUAAGUGAGUUUGACCCAAACUCAUCUGAAUGUAAUUACUAGACUGGCAAACUGGCUUCUAAUGACAGUCACAAGCAUCAUGCUGGAAUCUACAAAUUACUUAGUCUAGCUGAGCUCGCACUCUUCAUAUUAAAAUGUGAUAACUACACAAUUUCAGUUUGCUGCUGCAAAGUUCAGGGCAUAUUGCUAGCUUUGGGAAAUAAAGGACCAAUUUCUCACUGCUAAAUAUGAACAGAGAUGGUGCUGCAUUGUGUGUAAAGAGGCUGAAGUGGUCCUUAAAAACACACUGAAAAACCCCAUCAAGAAACCCAGGCCAUUACCACAGAGGAGCCAUUACAAAUGUCUAGCCAGACCACAGAGCAAGUAUUUGGAGGCAAAUCAAAACCUGCCUGAGGAACUGAGUAAAAAAGAUUUUCCAAAUUCACUAAUGCUCAUUUCAAUUAAUAGCCCACCUGCCAAGUGUAGCGAAUCUGAACAUAUUGUGGCCAUUAAUGCUCAAAAGUAGCUUUUCACAAUAAAAAAAGCCAAAAGAUGAAUUAUUGAAAGGAAAAUCAGUACCACUGCCACUCUGUCACACUGAGGUAAAUGGUUGAUUCUUGCAAAGGCUUGAAAAACAUCUUUGCCUUUAGGCUAAGUGAUUAAUUAUUACUCACAAAGACACCAGAAAAACAUGGAGAGCAGGAAGGAGAAGGGCUGAAGUCAUAGUCCAGAGUGAGAGCUGUGGUGGUGCAGGAUGUGAAUUACAUUUCUCAAGGUGAAAAUUGUCUGCUCUGAGAUCAGGAAUUAGUGGAAGAGACACUGCAUCCCAUU